CCGCGUUCCGGGCUCGGCGC
rnacentral:miRNA from 1 species